AAGACAAGGACCACUGAGAGAGACCAGUUACAGACCAGGCUUAGGUUCUAUGAGAAACCCUGUCUGGAUGGAUGGUGGAAGUUUGGCACCAGCUGUUAUUAUGUCUCCUCCACAAUGGACUCAGCUGAGGGCGGUCAGAAGGAGUGCAGAACAAUGGGAGGAGAGUUGGUUAUUAUAAACAGCAGAGAAGAACAGAUAUUUAUCCAUGGAUUUAAGAAUGUCUGGAUUGGUAAAUAUAAAGAAGAUGGAAUCUGGGAGUGGGUUGGCAAAACACCAUUUAAACCUACCUAUUGGAUGGAAGGGGAACCUAAUAACUUGAAUGACGAGAUGAGUUGUGUUGAGAUCCCACAGACGGCAUCAGACCCAUUGAAGAGUUGGAAGGUUGCACCAUGUACUACUCCAAACCACUGGGUGUGUGAAAAACCGUUCACACUGUAGUCUAAUUAUAGUAGCAAAUGUACAUUGAAGGAGCGCACAACAGAACAUUGUCCUACACUCGGUUUGUUGUUUAUAUGAAGUAUUUUUCUUUAAAUCGAUUCUUAUUAAAAACUAAAGUUUUGUUGCUAAGGAUUCCACGACGCGGUUAGCCUUUACGGCUGGGACUGUAAGUUUGGGUUCCAUUGUUGCUAAGGAUUCCACGACGCGGUUAGCCUUUACGGCUGGGACUGUAAGUUUGGGUUCCAUUUUUGCGUGGAUUCCGCGAGUGCUAACUGGCUGUACUACAGACACCUGUCGUCGUCGUGGGAAAGACUCAUUGUUAUCUUUUUGUAAAACAACUGGUUGCAGUAAAGAGCCAAUCUGGAUACGAAGGAGAUCCUGAGGGAAAUCUACGAGUACCAACAGCUUUACGCUAUGGAGGAACAACCUACUCCUUCGUGGAAAGAUCCGACCACUUCACAAAAUGACUUUAAUCCGACAAUAAAAAAAUAAAAGAAUUGAACCUACAGACACGUACGAUUUACUUACCAUUGAGGUAGAGGCUAGUGCUCUGGCUGGAAUACAUGCCACAUUGGAAAAGUUGUGUGAGGAGGCAGCAGGGCUGAGAGUUCAGCCAGAGUGAAAUUCUCACUCUCCGAAGAGAAACAAGACACUCACAGCCAAGGUAAAAAUACACGAUUCCAACAUGGAUUGUCUACUCAGGGAAAACAGGGUGAUGAAGGAGACGCUACUAAACACAAAGUCGUAUUGUGUGAAAAUCCUUUUUUUCUGGUAUUCCUGAGGACGCAUCCAAUAAUCCAGGGGGCGCAAUCAGAGAAUUCAUGCAAUCCGCCUUAACUUCCUAUAGAGACUAAACAAGGCGGCUUUCCACCGAGUACACAUACUUGGAGCUGGAAGCGACAAGACCAAGGGUCCCCGACCGAUCAUCGCAAAAUUUGAAAACACCAACAAAAGGAGCUCAUCAAAAGCAGAGCUUAAAAGGGACCAAAUUCGGUCUCAAUGACCAAUUUCCAAAAGAGUUAAACGAACGUCGUAAGAGACUGUAUCCGGUACAGAGGCAACAAAGGGAGAAGGGUAAGCGUGCCUUUAUCAUUGUGGACAAACUCUUUAUAGAUGGACAGCUAUUCCGAGACAGCUCCAUCACACUGUGGCUGUA